rnacentral:rRNA from 1 species
UACGUAGGGUGCAAGCGUUAAUCGGAAUUACUGGGCGUAAAGCGUGCGCAGGCGGUUCGCUAAGACAGAUGUGAAAUCCCCCGGGCUUAACCUGGGGAACUGCAUUUGUGACUGGCGGGCUAGAGUAUGGCAGAGGGGGGGUAGAAUUCCACGGUGUAGCAGUGAAAUGCGUAGAGAUGUGGAGGAAUACCGAUGGCGAAGGCAGCCCCCUGGGCCAAUACUGACGCUCAUGCACGAAAGCGUGGGGAGCAAACAGG